rnacentral:piRNA from 1 species
UGAUCACCUCAAAUUUGGGUCCACGGCUGCC